AUUGUCUCUUCUCGGACUGUUGGCCGUGUUGUCCGUGGUCGCCCUCCAUUCUGCCGCGGCAGAGGGAGAACCGCGUGAGGAGGACGGGUCAAACACCGCCCUGACGGAGCUCGAGAUGCGAGAGCUGGAAGAGGCACUGCGUGAGUUGGAUGCUUCCGAGUACGAGGUUCGCCAAGCACUGGCAGCCGAACACCUGCAGAAACGAUUCUUCAAAGAAAUAGCGGAUUUCGUGAAAAAAAUCAGGGGAAAAAUCAAAAACUGGUUCAAAGGAUCAAAAUCUGGUGCUCCGGCU